AUUGAACGCUGGCGGCAGGCCUAACACAUGCAAGUCGAACGAGUGGCGGACGGGUGAGAAAUGUGUGGGAAACUGCCCGAUGGAGGGGGAUAACUCCUGGAAACGGUAGCUAAUACCGCAUACCAUCGGAUGUGCCCAGAUGGGAUUAGCUUGUAGGUGAGGUAACGGCUCACCUAGGCGACGAUCCCUAGCUGGUCUGAGAGGAUGACCAGCGACGCUGGGACUGAGACACGGGCCAGAUGCCUACGGGAGGCAGCAGUGGGGAAUAUUGCACAAUGGGCGCAAGCCUGAUGCAGUCAUGCCGCGUGUAUGAAGAAGGCCUUCGGGGUGUAAAGUACUUUCAGUGGGGAGGCGUUACCAGCAGAAGAAGCACCGGCUAACUCCGUGCCAGCCGCGGCGGUAAUAC
rnacentral:rRNA from 1 species